AAUCUGCCUUCAGGUUCGGGACAACCACUGGAAACGGUGGCUAAUACCGAAUGUGCAGUAAUGUGAAAUAUUUAUAGCCUGGAGAUGAGCUCGCGUCUGAUUAGCUAGUAGGUGUGGUAAUAGCGCACCUAGGCGACGAUCAGUAGCUGGUCUGAGAGGAUGAUCAGCCACACUGGGACUGAGACACGGCCCAGACUCCUACGGGAGGCAGCAGUGGGGAAUUUUCCGCAAUGGGCGAAAGCCUGACGGAGCAAUACCGCGUGAGGGAGGAAGGCUCUUGGGUUGUAAACCUCUUUUCUCAGGGAAGAAGACAAUGACGGUACCUGAGGAAUAAGCAUCGGCUAACUCCGUGCCAGCAGCCGCGGUAAUACGGAGGAUGCAAGCGUUAUCCGGAAUGAUUGGGCGUAAAGCGUCCGCAGGUGGCUAUGUAAGUCUGCUGUUAAAGAGUCUGGCUCAACCAGAUAAAGGCAGUGGAAACUACAUGGCUAGAGUGCGUUCGGGGCAGAGGGAAUUCCUGGUGUAGCGGUGAAAUGCGUAGAGAUCAGGAAGAACACCGGUGGCGAAAGCGCUCUGCUAGGCCGCAACUGACACUGAGGGACGAAAGCUAGGGGAGCGAAUGGGAUUAGAUACCCCAGUAGUCCUAGCCGUAAACGAUGGAUACUAGGCGUGGCUUGUAUCGACCCGAGC
rnacentral:rRNA from 1 species